rnacentral:rRNA from 1 species
CUGUGUGUUGUUGGGUAGGGGAGCGUUCUGUAAGCCUGCGAAGGUGGCCUGUGAGGGUUGCUGGAGGUAUCAGAAGUGCGAAUGCUGACAUAAGUAACGAUAAAGCGGGUGAAAAGCCCGCUCGCCGGAAGACCAAGGGUUCCUGUCCAACGUUAAUCGGGGCAGGGUGAGUCGACCCCUAAGGCGAGGCCGAAAGGCGUAGUCGAUGGGAAACGGGUUAAUAUUCCCGUACUUGGUGUUACUGCGAAGGGGGGACGGAGAAGGCUAUGUUGGCCGGGCGACGGUUGUCCCGGUUUAAGCGUGUAGGUGUGUGUUCCAGGUAAAUCCGGUUCACUUUAACACUGAGGCGUGAUGACGAGGCACUACGGUGCUGAAGCAACAAAUGCCCUGCUUCCAGGAAAAGCCUCUAAGCAUCAGGUAACAUCAAAUCGUACCCCAAACCGACACAGGUGGUCAGGUAGAGAAUACCAAGGCGCUUGAGAGAACUCGGGUGAAGGAACUAGGCAAAAUGGUGCCGUAACUUCGGGAGAAGGCACGCUGACAUGUAGGUGAAGUGAUUUACUCAUGGAGCUGAAGUCAGUCGAAGAUACCAGCUGGCUGCAACUGUUUAUUAAAAACACAGCACUGUGCAAACACGAAAGUGGACGUAUACGGUGUGACGCCUGCCCGGUGCCGGAAGGUUAAUUGAUGGGGUCAGCGCAAGCGAAGCUCCUGAUCGAAGCCCCGGUAAACGGCGGCCGUAACUAUAACGGUCCUAAGGUAGCGAAAUUCCUUGUCGGGUAAGUUCCGACCUGCACGAAUGGCGUAAUGAUGGCCAGGCUGUCUCCACCCGAGACUCAGUGAAAUUGAACUCGCUGUGAAGAUGCAGUGUACCCGCGGCAAGACGGAAAGACCCCGUGAACCUUUACUAUAGCUUGACACUGAACAUUGAGCCUUGAUGUGUAGGAUAGGUGGGAGGCUUUGAAGUGUGGACGCCAGUCUGCAUGGAGCCGACCUUGAAAUACCACCCUUUAAUGUUUGAUGUUCUAACGUGGACCCGUGAUCCGGGUUGCGGACAGUGUCUGGUGGGUAGUUUGACUGGGGCGGUCUCCUCCUAAAGAGUAACGGAGGAGCACGAAGGUUGGCUAAUCCUGGUCGGACAUCAGGAGGUUAGUGCAAUGGCAUAAGCCAGCUUGACUGCGAGCGUGACGGCGCGAGCAGGUGCGAAAGCAGGUCAUAGUGAUCCGGUGGUUCUGAAUGGAAGGGCCAUCGCUCAACGGAUAAAAGGUACUCCGGGGAUAACAGGCUGAUACCGCCCAAGAGUUCAUAUCGACGGCGGUGUUUGGCACCUCGAUGUCGGCUCAUCACAUCCUGGGGCUGAAGUAGGUCCCAAGGGUAUGGCUGUUCGCCAUUUAAAGUGGUACGCGAGCUGGGUUUAGAACGUCGUGAGACAGUUCGGUCCCUAUCUGCCGUGGGCGCUGGAGAACUGAGGGGGGCUGCUCCUAGUACGAGAGGACCGGAGUGGACGCAUCACUGGUGUUCGGGUUGUCAUGCCAAUGGCACUGCCCGGUAGCUAAAUGCGGAAGAGAUAAGUGCUGAAAGCAUCUAAGCACGAAACUUGCCCCGA